AACGGGUGCGUAACACGUGAACAAUCUACCUCCAAGUGGGGAAUAGCUCGCCGAAAGGCGAAUUAAUACCGCAUGUGGUCAAUGCUCGCAUGAGCGUUGAACUAAAGUCUGGGACCGAAAGGCCUGACGCUGGGAGAGGAGUUCGCGGCCUAUCAGCUUGUUGGUGAGGUAACGGCUCACCAAGGCUAAGACGGGUAGCUGGUCUGAGAGGAUGAUCAGCCACACUGGGACUGAGACACGGCCCAGACUCC
rnacentral:rRNA from 1 species